rfam:Felis catus isolate Cinnamon breed Abyssinian chromosome B1, whole genome shotgun sequence.
GCCUGGGUGGCUCAGUCGGUUAAGUAUCCGACUUCAGCUCAGGUCAUGAUCUCACAGUUUGUGGGUUCUAGCCCCACAUCAGGCU